UAAGUUUUUUCAGUGGAAGAAGAAGAAUCAGCCUACUCAGAAGUAAUUUUUGCUCCAGAAGUCAUGUUAUUAAAUGUUCAAAGUCUGAAUCCUAACAAGAGCCGACUUUUGGAGGUUGAACUUUCUAAAUGCAGGAGUGUAAAAAUUCUUUGUCUGACGGAAACAUGGUCAAAUUCGGCCUCGAUAAACAGUAAUAGUAUCGAUGAAUUUAAAUUGAUCGCAAUGAAGUUCAAUUAGAAAGAGAGGUUAAUAUUUUAAUGACGAAUCUCCAAUCCUGGUUUUCCACCAACAACAUUUAUAUAAACUCUGAAAAAACACAAGUUAUAAGAUUUCGUAAUCGCCAAAACACCUGUCUUAUGGUAGAUACAAACCUCAACUUUAAGUCACAUGCCAAAAUACUGGUUCCAAAAUUAAACUCACUGUGUUAUCUUCUAAGAAAUUUAAAGAUAAUUUUAAAUAUUGAUCAAUUGGUUAAUAUAUACCAUGCUCAUGUGGAAUCCAGAAUUAGGUAUGGUAUUUGUUUAUGGGGUGGGUCACCAAGCGCAGCCAAUGUGUUUAUUAGUCAAAAACGUGCCAUCAGAACAAUUGCCGGUGCAAGUAAACAUACAAGCUGCAAAAGCCUUUUUAAAAAAUUAAAUAUAUUGACUCUUCCGUCAUUAUACAUAUUUGAAAUGAGUGUUCACAUUUAUAAAAACCGACAUAAUCUAACGUAUGUCCAUAACGUACAUAAAGUAAAUACCCGACAAAAACAUCAGAUUCAUGUUCCGUUUAAACGUUGUAAUGUUGGUGUGUUAGCAACUGAUUGUAUGGGAGUUAGAAUUUUCAAUUACUUGCCAGUGAAUAUUCAAAAUUGUCAGUUAAUAUCAUCAUUUAGGAAAAAUUUAAAAGUAUUUUUAACAGAUAAAUGUUAUUAUUCCCUAGGUGAAUUUUUUCAAGGUUGAUGGCAUGUUGACAAUAUCAUUUUGUCUUUUUGUUAUUUUGCUUGUUAAAUGUUUAGUUUUUAAUUUUUAGUUUUA